GACGAGCCGUGCGAACGUUAUUCGGAGUCAUUGGGCUUAAAGGGCGCGUAGGCGGCGGUGUAAGUUGGAAGUGAAAUCCCAUCGGCUCAACCGUGGAAUUGCUCCCAGUACUGCAUCGCUCGAGGGGGAUAGGGGUUUGCGGAACUACCGGUGGAGCGGUGAAAUGUGUUGAUAUCGGUGGGAACGCCAGUGGCGAAAGCGGCAAACUUGACCCUUCCUGACGCUGAGGCGCGAAAGCUAGGGGAGCAAACGGG
rnacentral:rRNA from 1 species